rnacentral:tRNA from 1 species
GGGUCGGUACCGAAGUGGUCAACCGGGGCAGACUGUAAAUCUGCUGGCAUAAGCCUUCGGGGGUUCGAAUCCCUCCCGGCCCACCA